rnacentral:rRNA from 1 species
CCGGUCUGAACUCAGAUCACGUAAGAAUUCAAAAGUCGAACAGACUUAAAAUUUAAACGGCUACANCUAAAAUUAUAUCUUAAUCCAACAUCGAGGUCGCAAUCUUUUUUAUCGAUAAGAACUCUCCAAAAAAAUUACGCUGUUAUCCCUAAAGUAACUUAUUUUUUUUAAUCGUUAAUAACGGAUCAAUUAUUCAUAAAUUAAUGAUUCUUAAAAUUAAAAGUUUAUUAAAUUUUAAUAUCACCCCAAUAAAAUAUAAUCAUAUAUUAUAACAAAAAAAAUCUACAAAAUUAUAAUAAACUAAAUAUAAAGAUUUAUAGGGUCUUCUCGUCUUUUAAAUAUAUUUUAGCUUUUUGACUAAAAAAUAAAAUUCUAUUAUAAAUUUUUAUGAAACAGUUAAUAUCUCGUCCAACCAUUCAUACCAGCCUCCAAUUAAAAGACUAAUGAUUAUGCUACCUUUGCACAGUUAAUAUACUGCGGCCAUUUAAAAUUUUCAGUGGGCAGGUUAGACUUUUAAAAUAAUUCAAAAAGACAUGUUUUUGUUAAACAGGCG